UGAGGAACAUGACUUUCGGCGGGGGAUAGCCGGCCCAACGGCCGGGUAAUACCGCGUACGACCUUUUGGGGACAUCCCUGAUUGGUGAAAGCAGCAAUGCGCCGAAAGAGUGCCUCGCGGCCUAUCAGCUAGUUGGUGGGGUAAUGGCUCACCAAGGCGACGACGGGUAGCUGGUCUGAGAGGAUGGCCG
rnacentral:rRNA from 1 species